rnacentral:lncRNA from 1 species
AAAAUUGAUUUUGUUGGACUAAUUGCACCAAUGUUGAGACAUGAACAAAAACGGUAUAUUUUUGUCACUAUGGACUAUGUAACCAAAUAGACAGAGGUUGUUGCCAUAGGACAUGAUAAUGCACACACUGUCGCUACGUUUCUAUAGGAGAAUAUUAUAACUUGGUUUGGGUGUCCUAAAGAAUUGGUUUGUGAUCGUGAAACC